GUUCAGGUAGCCAAGUUGGUUUAAGGCGUCGGUCUGCAAAACCGAAAAUCGUGGGUAGCUCCUCGCGGAUACGCUUCGCGAACGACUCCCACCCUGGAUU
rnacentral:tRNA from 1 species